UUCUUUCAACUUCUUCCCACGAUUUUUUCUCAGUUCCUUCAAUUCCGUGAUUCCUAAAGAUCAGGAAUUCAAAAUACACCUAAUUUUUUUGCCCCAAUUUCACCCGCAUCUCCUAAAUAUUGGUCCAUUCCCUUUUAUCGAUUCAUAUAUCAAGAUUUGCAGUCCUCAAUUUAAGGUAUGACUGCUUCUUCUUUCCCAUUCUUUCACUCCACCUUCCUUCUUACCACACACUGUCACUUUCCUCCUUCAAACCCUCAAAAUUCUCAUGCUUCAAGGGUUUUUGGUUCUUGUCGUCGGACCUAAUGAUAGUUGUAUCUCCGCUACACACCGUUCUGCUAGGAUUCGUCAUACCCACCGUCACCACCCUUCCUCUAUCUACGAUCUCACCCUCUAUUAAAAUCGACCUUAUUAGGUAUGAAUCUAACCUUCUUUCUCUCUUCCUCUAUCUAUGAGACUCUAAAAACUUUACCACAAUAACUUUGUUUGAUUUUUCGAUUAAUUUAAAUUGGUUUUAUUUUGUUUUGAUUAUGACGAGGCUUUAUUUUUUGUAGGGCUAAUUAUACAAAACAAUGGAACAUCUCGACAAAGUAUUAGAGCCUUGUAUGAAGCUACCGGUGAGUAUUAUAAAGCAAUUAGGUGUUAGAAAUAUGAAAUUUUGCUGAUUUUGAGUAUGAUUUAAUAGAAAUGGCAACUCAAGAGGGUCUCAUGUUUGGACAAAUUCUUGAUAUUAAACCUUGUGGAUUUUUUUCAAUGUUGAUUUUGUUCAACUGGUAAUUCCUUCUUCCUCCUCAAUGAGGGCAGGUCUGGAUGAGUUUUAUAUGGUCAGUGAAUCAUCUCUUAUACUAUCGUUACCUCAUCUAUCACUAUUUUCUUAUGGUAAUUUGUUUGUGAUUGAAAGAUGAUAGCAAUGGUGUUUAGAGAGUUGUGGAAGACAGAGUCGUUGGCCUCAUAAAAUAAGGUAACAUGACAAAGGGAAAUGCAUACUAACUGUUUGACAAAACGCUUGAACCAAAAUAUCUAUAUCAGUUUGCAACUAUUUUUUUUUUUAUCAUAAAUUCAUUGCUUUUCAAUGUAUCUAAAUUUUUUAUAUAAGGUUAUAGUAAUUAGUUUUUCGUUGUAUCUAAACUUUUUAUUUAAAAUGUUCCUUCUUUCUUGUAGAAGGAUUGCCAACACAAGAAUAAGACUUAUACUAAAUUGGUAUUUAUCAAAUGGCUUUGCUACAUUUCCAACUUAAUGUAUAUGUGGUCAAUGAUUCCUGAAGGAUGGUAAGUAUGUAUUAAAUUUUAGUAUUUUUGUACAACUAUAUUCUUAUUCUUACACAAUUUUGGGCUCAUUUUUUCAGGGAUUUUAUAAGAAUCAUAUAAAAAUACAAGUUCUUUUCUCAAUGGCAUUGAGAUGUUCAUUGGCAAUAUGAAACUUUACCUUAGAGGGAAAAGAAUAGAUGAAAAAGGUUUUUUUUUUCUUAUGAAAGUUGCUUGGUUUAGGAAGUUGAGGUGAGAAGACUCAUUUCACGGGAUAUUCAUUUUUCAUUAUCUUCAAAUGGGCAAAAUUUUUUUUUAUCACAAUUCCGUAUAGAUUGUUUCUUUUUUAUUUUAAGAGGUUCUUACAUGACAUGUUGAUAAUGCGGAAUUGGCUGAUCAAAAAUGGAACUGAAUAAUGAUUUAAACUUACUGUUUUUUUUUAAUUAUGAUUUUGUUUCCUUUUUGCUUGAAACUGUCCAAAAUACCCCCAACAGACACUUAAAUUUUAAUUAUUUUGUUUAUAGCAGUUUAUUUUUUAUCCACUUUAAAAGUAUUGGUUAAUAACUUAAUAUUAUGUCGUUAGUUAAUGUUAUUUGACAUUUUUUUCCCAAUAGUAGAACAUAAUCUAAAUUUUCUUCUUGUAGGAAGAAUUAGUGGAAGGAAUGCCAAGAAAGAAGCAAUUAUUUGAUUUGUUGACUCUUUUCUUAUGAUGAUGAUGCAAAACAAAUUGUACUUUUUACUAGCUAAUGACUUGAUGUAGCUUGACUAUGUAUUCCUUCUGCAACUUUUCAUGGGCUCUGUUAUGCCUUAGUAAGUCUUGAUGCUUAACAAUGAAAAAUGGGUUCAUAAAUAAAU
rnacentral:lncRNA from 1 species